rnacentral:rRNA from 1 species
CGCGUAGGCGGUUUCGUAAGUCAGAUGUGAAAGCCCGGGGCUCAACCCCGGAAGUGCAUCUGAUACUGCGUGACUUGAGUAUGGGAGAGGGAAGUGGAAUUCCUGGUGUAGCGGUGAAAUGCGUAGAUAUCAGGAGGAACACCGGUGGCGAAGGCGACUUCCUGGACCAAUACUGACGCUGAGGCGCGAAGGCGUGGGGAGCAAACA